CAAGUCGAACGGGUGCUUGGGGAAACUUGAGCGCUAGUGGCAAACGGGUGCGUAACACGUGGGUGACCUACCUCAAAGUGGGGAAUAACGGUCCGAAAGGAUCGCUAAUACCGCAUGUUCUCGAUGAUUCAUUUUAUCGAGUAAAACCGCAAGGUGCUUUGAGAGGGGCCCGCGUCCCAUCAGGUAGUUGGUGAGGUAAUGGCCCACCAAGCCAAUGACGGGUAGCUGGUCUGAGAGGACGACCAGCCACAAUGGAACUGAGAUACGGUCCAUACUCCUACGGGAGGCAGCAGUGAGGAAUAUUGCACAAUGGACGAAAGUCUGAUGCAGCGACGCCGCGUGGGUGAUGAAGGCCCUCGGGUCGUAAAACCCUUUUGGCAGGGACGAGUGAGGACGGUACCUGCAGAAUAAGUCUCGGCUAACUACGUGCCAGCAGCCGCGGUAAAACGUAGGAGGCGAGCGUUAUCCGGAUUUACUGGGCGUAAAGCGCGCGUAGGCGGUCGGGUAAGUCAGAUGUUAAAGCCCCUGGCUCAACUGGGGGAGGUCAUUUGAUACUGCUCGGCUUGAGGGUGAGAGAGGAGAGCGGAAUUCCCGGUGUAGCGGUGGAAUGCGUAGAGAUCGGGAGGAACACCAGUGGCGAAAGCGGCUCUCUGGCUCAUCUCUGACGCUGAGUGC
rnacentral:rRNA from 1 species